rnacentral:lncRNA from 1 species
UACUGUUACCUCUUGUUGUAUAUCUUCAGGCGUUGUAUCAUCUCCUUCUUGUUCAUUCUGUAAGGGCCUUGUGUCAUUUAAUUCUUGUUGAAUAUCUUCAGGCGUUGUUGUAAGUUAGCAACCUCUUGUUCAUUCUGUAAGGGCCUUGUGUCAUUUCAUUCUUGUUGUAAAUCUUUAGGCGUUGUAUCAUCACCGUCUUGUUCAUUCUGUAAAGGCCUUGUGUCAUUUAAUUCUUGUUGUAUAUCUUCAGGCUUUGUAUCAACAACCUCUUGUUUAUUCUGUUAGGGACUUGUGUUAUUUAAUUCUUGUUGUAUAUCUUCAGGAGUUGUGUCAUCAGCCUCUUGUUCAUUCUGUUAGAGCCUUGU